AUCAACAACCUAAGUUUUGGUAUAAAGUAGACCCUGAUCUCCAGGGAUAUGUUCCAAGACCUCCAGAGGGUAUCUGGAACCACGGAUAGUACCAAACCCUAUAUAUAGUAUGUUUUUUCCCAUACCCACAUACCUGUGAUAAAGUUUAAUUUAUCAAUUAGGCACAGAGUCACAAUAACUAAUAAUAAAAUAGAACAAUUAAAAUAUACUAUAGUAAAAGUAAUGUGAAUGCACUCUCUCUCCCCCUCUCUGUCGAGAUAUUACACUGCAUUCACCCUCCCCCUUGUGAUGAUAUGAGAUGAUAAAAUACCUACAUGACAACAUGAGGUGAGGUGAAUGAUGUAGGCAUUAUGACACGGCGUUAGGCUACUAUUGACCUUCAGACGACAUGUCACAAGAAGAAUCAUCUGCUUAUGGACCGUGCUGAACCCUGAGAAACUGAAACCAUGGAAACCAAUGGCAGAUAAGGGGGUACAACUGUAUCUUUCUGUUUUUCAAAGAACCAAACACCUAGACCUGAUCCCAAUGAGACAGAUACUAUCUUUUCAGCAUCUAUUCUGGGAAUUUCUACAUGCCCUGGUUAUAAAGCCUAAUAGAGAUCAACUUUGGAAUAAAACAUCUUCUGCAGUUCAAAACAGAAGAAUUGAGGGGCUAAGAGUUUGGAAAGAGGGCAUUGGGUCUCACAUGAGGGUAAAAGCAUUCCUACACUGAAGAUCAUUAGCUGGGACAAGUGACGUCCAUUCUGGCAUUGUGGAGGUGGCAGGCAUUGUGAGGGGACCCGAACUUCAUCAGUGUUGAUGCUUUAGGGACUAUAAAUCGGUCUUUGGCACUCCCUCUGGCAGGUGGUGCCCUUCAUCAUGAAAAGAUGUUCUGUCACAAUGAGUCAAAUGUUUACUGCCUUGAGUCAGCAGCCCCAGCUCUUCCAGGUCAGCACCCAACUGAAUGCGAACAACAUCUCAUUAACAAACACCAAAACCCACGUGUCUCCUUGAGACAUUCAGCAUCAAACUGGAAAAUGCUCAAAGCCAGCUCUCCUAAAUCCAACAGGAUUGCAAAGGUGGUAAUCGUCUCCUUACUCUGCUUUAUUAUACAUCAUGGUUAUAUAAUUAAUGGAUUCAUUUAAUGGCCCCAAAACUUAAUACCCUCAUACUAACUUUAAAUAUCUCUUUCGUGUCUGUUUUGCCUUUUCUGAGAAACUUCUUUUCUUCUUGCAUCGUCAAAUCUAAAGGAGAAAGGAUUUCCUUUAGGUUUACCAAUGAAAGCAGAAAAACCUAAAAUUUAUCAGGAUGGAACUGUCCUUUAUGGGAAAACAAUACCAGCACUCUAGAGUAUGAUGGCACAUUAAUGACAUGCAAAUUCCUCAUGUGAUAAGACCUGAUUCUGGACAUUUUCUUUCAGUAGAAAGCUCUCUCUCCACUGAAAAAGCUAACGGAGAAUCCAGUGUGUCGUGAUCGAGCAGGAAGCUAUGUCUCCACUAACAAAUAUGGUCCAAACAUUUAAAGAACUCAGUAGAAUGGAAUGCCACCGUGACCGUGCAGAAAGUCCCAGAAGAGAGAGCAUCCUCUGUCAUAGAAAACUCAAUGCUGUUCUACCAAGAAAAGUGGCAUGGCCUCAUUCAUUUGCCUUUCACUGGUGCAGAUAGUUUUCUGCCCACUGUAGCACAAACCACAUUUGUGUUUCUUCCAUUUCAGCAGAAUCCUUAACUUGAAAUUAAAUACCUGCAUCCAGAGAGCAGAAUACUAUUCAGCACUAAAAAGAAAUAAGCUGUCAAGUUAUGAAAACACAUGGGGAAAAACCCUAAAUGUGUAUUAUUAAGUGAAAGAAUACAACCUAAAAAAACUGUGUUUUGUGGGAUUCCAACUAUAUGAUGUUAUGGAAAGGGCAAAAUUAUGAAGACAGUAAAAAGAGCAGUGGUUGCCAGGGAAGAGAGAGGGAUGAAAAGGCAGAACAGAGACGUUUCAGGGCAGUGAAAGCAUUCUGUGUGAUACUACAACAGUGGAUAAUACAUCAUGAUACAUUUGUCCUAACCCAUAGAACGUACACUGUCAAGAAUGUACGCGUAAUGUGAACUAUGGACUUUGGAUGAUAAUGAUGUAUCCAUGUGGAUUCAACCACUGUACCAAAUGUACCCCUCUGGUGGGGGAUGUUGACAGUGGGGAGGAGGGCUGCAGGGGGCAGGGGCAGGGAAUACAUAGGACCUCUCUGUACUCUCUGCUCAGUUUUGCUAUGAACCUAAAACUGCUCGGAGGAAAUAAAGUUUGCUAAUUUUAAAAAAUUACCCACCUGAUUAAAAAGGCCUGUCCAGCCUGCUUAUACAGGAUAUCUUUUCUGUUUUAUUGGGCCAUUUUCAAGUCUUUCCUAUGCAGCGGAAGAGUCUUAGCAAAUAUCUCUUUAGAUUUCUCUUUUCUAAUGGCAAUAAUCUAUCCCCUACCUUGUCCCAGGCAGUCUACAUAUAAGAGCUAAGGCAGAACUAAGAAUGGGUGAGACAUAUACCUUGCUUGAUUUGCUCUCCUUUACCAGAAGAUGCUGGGUUUCCAAAGAGAAUAAACCUAAUGGGAUUCCAUUUUAA